GACGAACGCUGGCGGCGUGCUUAACACAUGCAAGUCGAACGGAAAGGCCCCUUUGGGGGUACUCGAGUGGCGAACGGGUGAGUAACACGUGAGUAACCUGCCCUUGACUUCGGGAUAACUUCAGGAAACUGGGGCUAAUACCGGAUAGGAAUCCUUGCUGCAUGGUGGGGGUUGGAAAGCUUCGGCGGUUUUGGGUGGACUCGCGGCUUAUCAGCUUGUUGGUGGGGUAGUGGCUUCCCAAGGCUUUGACGGGUAGCCGGCCUGAGAGGGCGACCGGCCACAUUGGGGCUGCGGUACGGCCCAGAUUCCUACGGGGGGCGGCAGUGGUGAAUAUUGCACAACGGGCGGGAGCCUGAUGCAGCAACGCUGCGUGCGGGAUGACGGCCUUCGGGUUGUAAACCGCUGUCAGCAGGGGCGAAGCUUGUGGUGACGGUACCUGCAGAAGAAGCACCGGCUAACUACGUG
rnacentral:rRNA from 1 species